UUACGGCCACAUCACUUUGAACCACCAGUUCCCCUACGAUCACCGAAUUUAAGCAACGCCGAGCCUGGUCAGUAACUAGAUGGGUGACAGCUUGGGCGCAACAGGUGCUGUAAG